UACGAAGGGUGCAAACGUUGCUCGGAAUUAUUGGGCGUAAAGCGCACGUAGGCGGCUUAGCAAGUCGGAAGUGAAAUCCCACGGCUCAACCAUGGAAGUGCUUUCGAAACUGCUGAGCUUGAGUACGAAAGAGGAUCGCGGAAUUCCCGGUGUAGAGGUGAAAUUCGUAGAUAUCUGGAGGAACACCGGUGGCGAAGGCGGCAUCCUGGACCGAGAUUGACGCUGAGGCGCGAAAGCCAGGGGAGCAAACGGG
rnacentral:rRNA from 1 species